GGACAUGUAGCUCAGUGGUAGAGCACUGCCUAACACGUGCAAGGUCCUGAGUUCAAUUUCCAGCAUCACUA
rnacentral:tRNA from 1 species